GAUGAAGAACGCAGCGAAAUGCGAUAAGUAGUGUGAAUUGCAGAAUCCGUGAGUCAUCGAAUCUUUGAACGCACAUUGCGCCCUCUGGUAUUCCGGAGGGCAUGCCUGUUCGAGCGUCAUUAUCACCCCUCAAGCCCGGCUUGCUGUUGGAUGCAGCGCUUAUCCCGCUCCUCCCAAAGAUAAUGAUGGCGUCUGCGACGACUCCUGUACACUGAGCUUUCGGGCACGUACACGGCCAGAAGUCCAGACCCGGUCGCCGUCCCCCUCGCGGGGACACCCAUUACCACAAGGUUGACCUCGGAUCAGGUAGGAAUACCCGCUGAACUUAAGCAUAUCAAUAAGCGGAGGA
rnacentral:misc_RNA from 1 species